UAAAAGGGCAUUGGACUAGAUUGACAUGUGAAAUUGUGAGCUAAUGUCAUAAAGCGACAUUGAGCUCUGGUUAUGUGUGAACCUAGUGAAUAGGGCCAUUGAGAGAUUUGGAACAUACUUGUACAUCGAAAUGUCUAAGUGUCAUAAAGGGGCACUAAACUUAGUAAAUAUUAGAACUUCACAUUGUGACCUAGAGCUAGAUCAUUGAGAUGCUAGUGACUAUUACCAUGUUAGAGACAUGAUGAUUGGGUACUUGAGACGAUGAUUAUGCUUGUUUGCCAUUUGUGCUCAUUCGCACAUGCUUGUGAGGGUCGCUCCCUACAAGCCGGCACUCCGGAGUUGGCCUACGCGACUUAUGCUCGCUCGUGCGGUAUCGAGAAACCUACGGGGUCGGGAGGGAUAGACUCAUUCCUAGAGUGGGAAUGCUGUAGCUACCACCGACACUUAGGUGGCACAAG
rnacentral:lncRNA from 1 species